GCCGGUGGGGGGAGCCCUGCGCUCUCGGUUCGCCAGCUCGCUCGGUCCUCGCGGCAGCCCUGGGCGGCAGGGGCCGUUCUAGCGCCCCUCGACAGAGGAGGUGGCCCACGUCUAGUGGAAACCAGCCGCCAUGUCGUGAGGACACUGAGGCAGCUUGCAGGGAGGUCCUGGUGUCCAGAAAUUGAGGCUUUCUACCAACAGAAAUGUGAGUGAGUCGUCUUGGAAGCAGUCCUCUAGUCCUGCUCAAGCCUGUGGCCGACAGCAACCCCUGUCAACAUCCUGACUGCAACUUCAGGACACCCUGAGCGAGGACUGCUCAGCUUAACCACUCCUGGUUUCCUGACUCUCGGAAACUGUAAGAUAAAGAGUCCUUGUUUUAAGCCACUAAGCUUUGGGGUAAUUUGGUAUACAGCUAUAGGUAACGAAUAUACAGGGUAAAAGGAAUAUGUAUUCUUUGUACUAUUAUGGCAGCUUCUCUGUAAAUUUGAAAUUAUUUCAAAAUACAAUGUUAAAAAAUAAA